rnacentral:rRNA from 1 species
UGGGGAAUAUUGCACAAUGGGCGCAAGCCUGAUGCAGCCAUGCCGCGUGUAUGAAGAAGGCCUUCGGGUUGUACAGUACUUUCAGUCGGGAGGAAGGUGGUAAGGUUAAUAACCUUAUCAAUUGACGUUACCGACAGAAGAAGCACCGGCUAACUCCGUGCCAGCAGCCGCGGUAAUACGGAGGGUGCAAGCGUUAAUCGGAAUUACUGGGCGUAAAGCGCACGCAGGCGGUUGAUUGAGUCAGAUGUGAAAUCCCCGGGCUUAACCCGGGAAUUGCAUCUGAUACUGGUCAGCUAGAGUCUUGUAGAGGGGGGUAGAAUUCCAGGUGUAGCGGUGAAAUGCGUAGAGAUCUGGAGGAAUACCGGUGGCGAAGGCGGCCCCCUGGACGAAGACUGACGCUCAGGUGCGAAAGCGUGGGGAGCAAACAGG